AGCACUCCUACGGGAGGCAGCAGUGGGGAAUAUUGCACAAUGGGCGCAAGCCUGAUGCAGCCAUGCCGCGUGUAUGAAGAAGGCCUUCGGGUUGUAAAGUACUUUCAGCAGUGAGGAAGGUGGAUAUGUUAAUAGCAUAUUCAUUUGACGUUAGCUGCAGAAGAAGCACCGGCUAACUCCGUGCCAGCAGCCGCGGUAAUACGGAGGGUGCGAGCGUUAAUCGGAAUUACUGGGCGUAAAAGCGCAUGCAGGUGGUUUGUUAAGUCAGAUGUGAAAAGCCCGGGGCUCAACCUCGGAAAUUGCAUUUGAAAACUGGCAAACUAGAGUACUGUAGAGGGGGUAGAAUUUCAGGUGUAGCGGUGAAAAUGCGUAGAGAUCUGAAGGAAUACCCGGUGGCGAAGGCGGCCCCCUGGACAGAUACUGACACUCAGAUGCGAAAAGCGUGGGGAGCAAAACAGGAUUAGAUACCCUGGUAG
rnacentral:rRNA from 1 species